rnacentral:rRNA from 1 species
UAGGGAAUCUUCGGCAAUGGACGAAAGUCUGACCGAGCAACGCCGCGUGAGUGAAGAAGGUUUUCGGAUCGUAAACUCUGUUUUUUGAGAAGAACAAAGGCGUUAGUAACUGAACGUCCCCUGAUGGUAUCUUACCAGAAAGCCACGGCUAACUACCUGCCAGCAGCCGCGGUAAUACGUAGGUGGCAAGCGUUGUUCGGAUUUAUUGGGCGUAAAGCGAGCGCAGGCGGUUUCUUAAGUCUGAUGUGAAAGCCCCCGGCUCAACCGGGGGGGGUCAUUGGAAACUGGGAGACUUGAGUGCAGAAGAGGAGAGUGGAAUUCCAUGUGUAGCGGUGAAAUGCGUAGAUAUAAGGAGGAACACCAGUGGCGAAGGCGGCUAUCUGGUCUGUAACUGACGCUGAGGCUCGAAAGCGUGGGGAGCAAACAGG